rnacentral:rRNA from 1 species
UACGUAGGGUGCAAGCGUUAAUCGGAAUUACUGGGCGUAAAGCGUGCGCAGGCGGUGAUGUAAGACAGAUGUGAAAUCCCCGGGCUCAACCUGGGAAUGGCGAUGGAAACUGGCGGGCUGGAGUAUGGCAGAGGGGGGUGGAAUUCCGCGUGUAGCAGUGAAAUGCGUAGAGAUGCGGAGGAACACCGAUGGCGAAGGCAGCCCCCUGGGCCAAUACUGACGCUCAGGCACGAAAGCGUGGGGAGCGAUCCGG